UACGCAUUGUUUGAUCUUCGAUUUCAGACGCCAACAGAAAGCUCAGCUGUCAGGAAGACUUCGGGUUUAUUUGACUCGAAUUCUAUUCCUUAUAAUAACACCAUUUUGAUUGUGGGAUCCUUACUUUGCUUUGCCGUGGUUGUCGGACUCAYAUGGCAAUGUAUUUGUAAGAGAAAGGCAAAGAACAAAAUACACCYGUACGAUGCAAUGUACAAAAAUGAAGUAGCGCAAUUGAGGAAAAUCGUCGACGAAUUUGUCAGGAAUAUGAAAGCAAAUACAGAAURUUUGAGAAAMGCACACAGAGAAGACAUAAAAAAGCUAAUACAGCUCGAGAAAGAAAAGAAAAAACGUCAAAGAGAGGAAACCGGCCAAGAAAGACCACAGGUAGUCCAAUCAUGUUAAAAGAAAUUGUAUGGCGAUACUUAAAAAACCUUAAUAAAAUCGUCCAAAUGUAAAAUAAAUUGAAGAAUUUUUAGCUGACCUUUGAAACGUAGUACCUCUUUUGCCUUGUUUACUUAGAUUUCGGAUAUACUAAAUUUUCUUUCUUAACUUUUUUCUUUUUCACAUUUUGACGAGGUUUUUAAGCAUCACUAUUAGCAUUAAUAGCAUUAAUAUGACACCACAGGAACCUAGCUUGGGCUACCUGUGGAAAAAACCAAAGUUUACUAAUGAGCCCUUUGCAGCUCAGUAAUCACGUACUGAUUAAUUCACUGAGAGAAAAUGAAUGAACAUCUUGUUUUCCAUGGGUGAAUUCAAGAGAAUAUUCUCUUGGUGAAAUAUACUAGUGAGCAAAAUAAAUUUCUACAACCCGUUUCAAAAGAUCAUAAUAAAACUGCGUCUUGUGACACACUGGUUACACAUCGUUUCAUUCAGUUCUUUACAAAGUAGCUAAAAAAGAAUCUCCAAUUUAAAAUAAAAAAUUAGCUCAACAGUACAGCCACGUAACCGUUAACUGCAAAGGGCCUAUUGGAUACUAGCUUCGUAAGUAAUGUAAUCGUAUAGUCGCAAUCGUAAUCUUAAAGGUACGACGCAAGCAGAAUCGUAAGCAUCGCUUCCUUGUUAUUUUCGAAUAGAUUCCUGCCAGCUUCGAAAUAUUCAAAGCUGAGAGAGAAAGUUUUUURYGCAACGAUUGAUCACUGUCUUUUUUUCUUCCUUUUAUCAGACUUGAAACGUUUCCAUUUUUCUGCUUUUAAUCAUGAACGUUUUGAGAGUCCUUGUCCGCAUUUCAGUUCUUUUUAUAUAAGUGUAUGUAUUUGGUUAUUUUUAUUUCUUUGUUAUUUAAAAAAUAACAAGGACAACAACAAAAAAUAAGUCACUAGUAUAAUAUUUGUUUUCAACAAGUAAAACACUUCAAAGAAAAGUAUUUGACGGAUACAACUUUUGCCCCAAAGCUUCAGUGCAAACAGAAGUAUUAAUCAGAAGCUUGGAUUUUUUUAAUGUGCUGACCGUUUUUGAAAAAUUCCACCUUCAACAAUUUACAAUAAAAUCUAACAAAAGGCAACUCACUCAAAAAUUUUUGAAGGUGGAUUUUUCAAUAAAGGUGCACCUUUACAAGUAAUUUCCGGCGUCGUAGGAGUCAAAUGGUUAACGUAAUGUACAUAAGAACUAAACUUGUAUGAUCUUGAUUACAAUUUAAAAUAAAUAGUAUAGCUAUGAGUGGUGUUUUGAAAAUUCAAGGGCUUAUGCUUUUAUUAUCAAACUGCUUAUUAAUAGAGAAARGUGUUUAGUGAUAAAAUUACAAAAUUCUUGAAAUAAUCGUAUCGGCUGAACCUUGUGUAMAUGCAGAAAGUGAUUUUCCUCAUUCAUGGAAUUGUUCAUAAUUCCUGCAAUUAAGCAUAAUUCCCCGAGUUCCUUUUGGCUAGAGACCRAUGAUAAAUCAUUUCUAUACUACUGUCCUAGCUUAGCUUAGUCCAAGCUACUAAAUAAUUUUAUCAUAAAAGAAACAGUGAGUAGACUAGUAGAGGUUGAAUAUUUGUUAUUUCCAACAUUUUUGUUGGGGUCUAUUUGACUAAGUAUCAGUAUACACUGACUAUACUUAACAUUCUUUAACAGUCUGAGGAAAGUCACUCUACUCGCAAUAAUGUGUGUGUAUAUAUAUAUAUAUAUUUUAGCUCCUAUUUCUAGCCCAAUAUAUUGUAAUAUAAAGUGCACGUCAUAUAUCCUUUAAGGCAAAACCAAAGAUGUAAUGUCAAAUUUGAUUGAAUGAACAGCAAAACCAUAAUUUCAAGUCGAGGUUCAUCAUGACUUGAUGAAUAAAAUAAUCAAGUUUGGUCUUGACAUAGUUAAUGGAGCAGAAUGGUUGGGAAACCCAUUGUUCUAUGUUUUUGUUCAACUUUAUCCAUUGUUAUAUGACAUUGACGGUGCACAGAAAAGGAAAAGUUUCUCCAUUUGUUCAUAGUAUUCGGGAAUAUAAAAGUUUUUAACCCUAAAAAACGUUCUAAAAUAAUUAUUUGUUAAUUAAUCCUAUAUGAUUAAUACAAAUUGUUUAUUGAAAAGGAAAUUGCCUUUUUUCAUGCUUUCUUAUUCAUCAUCUAGUAACUUAACUGUAUCUGCGCGGAAGUAUUUAUCCGCAUAGUUUGUGGUCAUCGAAUGAAAGUUUUCACUUUCAAAAUGUUCGUACAUGAAAAUAAUAAGGAAAUGAGCAUUUUCAGCCAUACCUACUUUGGUUCAUUGUGCACCCUCAGUAUCACGUGAUGGUACGGUUCAACAUCAAACGCAAAACAAUAGCUUUGUUCUAUGGAGUUUCCAAACCAUUCCGCUCCAUUAACUAUGGUCUUGACUUCUAACCACUGUUAGUUUGGUGGCAUGGAAAAGGUAUAUUGUAGCUAUCAGUUGUGCAAAAUAGUAAAUGUAUAKCAUUGGAGGAGUAGARCAUUGCAAACUACAAAAAGCAAACACCUCUAGAGGGUCCUGAAAAGGAAAAAUGGGAGCUUGCAUUUCAUGUUUUGUGGGCUGGGAAAAUGGGAUUGUGUGUACUGGGAAUGGACUAUGGRAUUUGGUCAAAAUGGGGGCUGGGAAAUGGGAUAAGGACCCCCUCCCCCCUUUCAGGACUCUUCUUUACCUCUUUGUUUGGUAAUGCCUGAGUAUUGGACAACCAAAAAUAAUUGAUACUAAAUGCAUAGUGCUGUACAUAGCUAUAGUUGGGGGUGGAUCUAGGAGUUGAUUAGGGGGGGUGUCCCAAAUAAAAAAAAAAACAUGCGUAUAUAGAUAAGCAUUCAUCACUUCAGAAGAUGGUAAUUUACGGCGUUAUUAGAUACGUGUGCGGUACACCACAAGACACCCCCUGGAUCCGCCCCUCCUAGAUAUAUUUUAAAACUCUAGAUUGUUAGAUUUUUAUGCUUUGUUCUCAGAUUAAAUCAAUUYUUUUCUUGUAAUCUUCGAUAUCUUGUUUACUGAUUGAAUAAAGACUGUCAAUGUUAAUAGCCA